ensembl:lincRNA uncharacterized LOC110293949
CCAGGCUGAGGCGGUGAGAAUAACAAGGAAAAGGGCUGCAUGCCAAUAAAUCUAUUUGAGUCGUCUUUAUUAGUCCAGGGGAUGGAGGAUUAGAGCCCAGACUGGGACAGUAAGAGUAGACAGGGACACAGAGAUAUGAGGCACUGAAGGAAACAACCAAAACAGUCAGGCUGGACUGAUGAAUGUAGAGGAGUAGGAAUACAGUGGUGGCCUGAAGCACCACCCAUGGAAUAAGAAUGCACUUGCUCUGUAAAUCACAUUUUGGACACCAAGAUAUUAGACUCAUCCAGAUGCCUGAGGAAGACGGUAUAAAGAACAAGGUAUCUUGGAAAUAUAACAGGCAUGGGAGCCAGCUCAUGAAGACACAUAUGAGAAGUUCAGAUGUGUAAUACUAAGAAACUUGAACACUGUCUUGUGGAUCACAUGAAGAAGGGUCAGAAAAAAAUCACAUUAAGAAGUUGGCCAUUUGGAAGCCAAGGGAAAAGACCUCAAAAGACCCCAGCCUUGCAGAAAUACCUUAAUCAAGGACUUCUACUAUCCAUAACUAUAAGCCAGUAUGUCGACAAGUCAAGCUGCCCCAUUUGAGAUUAAGAUGUGUGAUCUCAGUUCCUUCCUUUACCCUGCCACCAUGGACUCUAAGCCUCUGACACCAUAACCCAAGCGUACUCUUUUACUGAGGUCAACUUCAAGACUCCACUUCUUCAAAAUCCCAUCAUUUCCAUCCUGAGUGCAGAUCUUUACCACAUGGGCCUUUGUAAAACACUGAAGAUUCAGCUACAGUAAUGCUAAAAUAUGCUGUCUCAUACCUAGAUUGACCUGUAUCCCAAAUGGUCACACUCUGUUAUAUUCUUACUCAAAUCUAUACCUUUAUUUUAUCAAUGUAUUUUCAUUGUUCAUAAUAAAAUUUACUCCUGAAGCUU